AUACGUAGGGGGCGAGCGUUGUCCGGAAUGACUGGGCGUAAAGGGCGUGUAGGCGGCCGAUUAAGUCUGGAGUGAAAGUCCUGCAUUCAAUGUGGGAAUUGCUUUGGAGACUGGUUGGCUUGAGUGCGGAAGAGGUAAGUGGAAUUCCCAGUGUAGCGGUGAAAUGCGUAGAGAUUGGGAGGAACACCAGUGGCGAAGGCGACUUACUGGGCCGUAACUGACGCUGAGGCGCGAAAGCGUGGGGAGCGAACAGGAUUAGAUACCCUGGUAGUCCACGCGGUAAACGAUGAAUGCUAGGUGUUGCGGGUAUCGACCCCUGCAGUGCCGGAGUAAACACAAUAAGCAUUCCGCCUGGGGAGUACGGCCGCAAGGUUGAAACUCAAAGGAAUUGACGGGG
rnacentral:rRNA from 1 species